GUUCCUUGCAGGUGCAGCUCGAGAGAAGGUGCAGGCUGGCUUCGGGAGAAAGGAACUGCAGUUUGUUGCGGACCCCAGCCCUUGCUUGUGCACCUUGGUUGAUUUCAACCCCGACUGCGCUCCACGGUCAGCUCCAGCGGGUGUCUCCCUGCCGCAUCUUCCGGGAGUCCUCCACGGUUUCAUUUACCCUGUGCGGUACACACUCUGGUUCGGCAACGUCCCUGACAGCCCAUACCAUCAAGGGAGUAAAAUCACGUGUGGGCCAGCUGACCGUGUGGUGAACGUGCCCAUUCACCACAAGCACUAACGUAUGAUCAGAUGUCUGCUGAAGAUGACAGAGAUGCCGGACUCGUGGAACCCCGUAUACCCAGAUCUCACCCGCACCCAUCCUUCUUCCGACGAUGAUAAGGUCUCUGUACGGCAUAUCUACGCGGAGCCCAUGGAUCCCAUCACGACAACGGAGGUUCAUUCCGAUCCAUCCACCACAAAGGCCCAAGAACACCAUUUGGCCUCACUGCAGAGUCUCAUGUGGUGCGAUUCGCCACCUCCAUCACAUGCAGAUCAGGUUGGCCCGAUGAACGAGAAGCCUCCAUCAACCUGCGGCUUCUGUUAACCUUAGUGAGGCCUUCAACAUUGGCAACGCCCACAGCUCCUCGUGGAGAGUGCGUUCAACACGCACAAAAAGAUAAAACAUUUAACAGUGGUAGUGUUAGGGGACUGUUGGGCUCCAUUGUUAAGCUCCGCGUCUUCCUUGGCAUCUCUCAUUUCCUAGUUCAUGCCAUUGUGGGAUGUGCCACAUGCCACGCUGAAUCCUUAGGGUUUUAAGUGUCCAGACAAGCAGCGUACGAUAAAUCAUUUUCCUCGCGCA